ensembl:snRNA U6 U6 spliceosomal RNA
GCGCUCGCUUCAGCAGCCUGUGUAGUAAAUUUGUGUUGAUCACAGAAGAUUAGCAUAGCUCCUGCACAAAGAUGACACACAAAACCGUGAGGCAUUGCUAAUUUUU